GCACAUAUAAACUAUCAUAUAUAAUACAUCUGCACAUAUAAACUGUGUAUCAUAUAUAAUACAUCUGCACAUAUAAACUAUCAUAUAUAAUACAUCUGCACAUAUAAACUGUAUCAUAUAUAAUACAUCUGCACAUAUAAACUGUGUGUAUCAUAUAUAAUACAUCUGCACAUAUAAACUGUGUGUAUCAUAUAUAUCCGCACAUAUAAACUGUGUGUGUAUCAUAUAUAUCUGCACAUAUAAACUGUGUGUGUAUCAUAUAUAAUACAUCUGCACACAUGCUUCUCUGUAUUGAAAACCAAAUUGUCACGGACCACUCCCAUUCUCACGCAGCAUUUAGGGCUGUGGCUAGCCUUUCCCAGCUGUAAGAAACCUGUCUUUCAGCAUGAUAAACACAUUUACUUAUUUGCUCAGUCCUCUAAUAUGCAGAAAGUAGUUUUAGAAUUGCCAAAACCAUACAACUUGGAAAAACAAGCAUGAUUACUUCAAGAUGUGUUUGUAGCUCCUUCUG
rnacentral:lncRNA from 10 species